GUAAGUUGUGCCGGAGGACAAGUCUAACUCUUUUUGGGUGGAUGGAUAGUGAGAGCACAGAGGAAACAACUUGACUCUUCUCAGUGCUGAAAUUAGCAUGACAACCCUGCCUAGCUCAGGGUUGCCAGCUUGGUCGGCUUUUAACAAAUGCUGAUAUGAGUUAAAUUUUGCAAAUAUCUGCUAGACUACAACCUCCUUCAGGGCAGGAAGCAGAGGCUCAAAGUUGCCUGGAGCUGAAUUGCACUAAGCCAUAGCCAGAAGAAAUAUCAAGCAAGAGAAGGGUUAGUCCGUGGGUUAACACUCCGGCAAAGGCUUCCAAACAAAGCAGUUUUUCUAUAAGAAGCUGGCCUUGUUAGAAACAUCGUCCAAGCCUCCGAUCAAGUGCUUGAAUGAGCUGAAGAAACAAAAAUGACAAGGAUCAGGAAACAAGCCCUAGGAGGAGAAGUGUAUCUGUGUAGAGUUGGAGAUUGGGAUCAGGAAUCUCCUUGGCAGAAGGAAAUCCCAGGUGAAGCAACGACCUCCACCAAU